CGGGGCGUGGCUCAGCUUGGUAGAGCGCUUCGUUCGGGACGAAGAGGUCGCACGUUCAAAUCGUGUCGCCCCGACCA
rnacentral:tRNA from 1 species